UACGUAGGUGGCAAGCGUUGUCCGGAUUCAUUGGGUUUAAAGGGUGCGUAGGCGGCCCUGUAAGUCAGUAGUGAAAUAUCACAGCUUAACUGUGAGGGUGCUAUUGAUACUGCGGGGCUUGAGUACAGACGAGGUAGGCGGAAUUGACGGUGUAGCGGUGAAAUGCUUAGAUAUCGUCAAGAACACCGAUAGUGUAGACAGCUUACUAGGCUGUAACUGACGCUGAGGCACGAAAGUGUGGGGAUCAAACAGGAUUAGAAACCCGCGUAGUCC
rnacentral:rRNA from 1 species